rnacentral:misc_RNA from 1 species
AUGGAAAGCACAUCCAGCAAAGAGGAGCAGAGUAAUCAAGAAGACUCGGAUUCUUCAGAAAUCGACGAGAUAGAGCCUAGACUGAAGUACGUGAGGAUACGCAAUGACCUGGAACACAUUCUACAGAAUGAUGCAGCUAGCUGCAUCGCUGUGCACCCAAAGUUUCUCUGUCUGGGAUCACACUGGGGAAUGAUUCAUCUUCUAGACCAUCAGGGAAACAAUGUGAAAUCUAAAACACUGCAGGCACAUACGGUGGCAGUCAAUGAAAUUUCCAUAGAUGACAAUGGUGACUUUAUCGCUUCGUGCAGCGAUGAUGGAAAGGUUUUUAUCUAUGGACUGUACAGUACAGAGAAUAAUCACAAUAUAAGCAUGGGCAGGCUAGUUAAGAGUAUAGCGAUUGAUCCAAAUUAUUACAAGAGUGGUAGCGGUAGAAGAUUCAUUACAGGCGAUGACAAGCUAGUGCUCUACGAGAAGACCUUCCUAGCCAGGAUGAAGCCAACGGUACUCUGCGAGGCUGAGGGUGGAGUGAAGUCUAUUGCAUGGUCUGGUCGCUUCAUAGCGUGGGCCUCCGACACUGGUGUGAGAGUCUAUGACCUCGACACUAGGUGUUCGCUGGGACUCAUUAAGUGGUCCCAUACCACAGACGCGUCGCCGGAGCACUACAGAUGCAAUCUGCAAUGGUCGGAUGAGAAGACGCUGCUAAUUGGAUGGGUGGAUAUCGUGCGCAUUUGUCAUAUUAGGAAACGUACCACGCAGGAGAUGAUCAAUCGAGAUUUGCCCGAAUUUGUAGUUGACCCAGUGUCAACGUUCCAAGUAGAUUUUUAUAUAUCCGGUAUAGCGCCACUGGGGAACGAACUGGUAUUACUAGGAUGCUUGAAGGAGCCAGACGAAGAGGGAAAGAACCAACGACCGACGCUGCACGUGGUUGAACCGAAAUAUCAAGAUUUUUCUCUGGUGUGUGCAAACUCGCUUACCUUACGUGGUUACAAGGAGUACGGUUGCAACGAUUAUCAUUUGGAUUGUUUAAAAGAAGAAAACAGAUUUUUUAUUGUAAGUCCAAAGGAUAUUGUAGUAGCCAGUUUGUACGACAUAGACGACAGAAUUGAAUGGCUGUUGAGCCAUGGCAAGUUCGAGCAAGCCCUGGAAGCGGUAACGUCGAGCAGCGGCAAGGAUUGCAAGAGACACACCAUGCUAAAUGUGGGUCGCAUUUAUUUGGAUCACUUGCUGGCAUGCGAGCAAUACGAUGAGGCUGGAAAGCUCUGUCUCAAAAUCUUGGGACGAGAUAAAAAAUUAUGGGAGGAGGAGGUUUACAAAUUCGCCAGAGUGCAUCAGCUGCGAUCAAUCUCAUCUUACUUGCCUCGCGGUGAUGUCACUCUCGACCCACUGAUCUACGAGAUGGUACUGUACGAGUACCUAAAGAUGAACCCCGACGGUUUCCUGCAGCUAGUCAAAGAGUGGUCCCCGAGUUUAUACACGGUGGCAGCAGUAGUUAAUGGAGUAUUGGAACAUUUACUGGUUCACAAUUCGCGACAGAACGUAUUGUUGGAAGCUUUAGCCAUUUUAUACAUUCACGACGGCAAGUACGACAAAGCCCUCGCUAUGUACAUGAAGCUGCGACACAAAGACGUUUUCCAGCUGAUCCAAAAGUACCAGCUGUACAGCUCGGUGUACGAUAUGAUCGAAGGCCUGAUGGAUCUGGAUACUGAACGUGCCAUACAAUUCUUCCUGGAGAAAGACAGAGUGCCCACUGAAGUCGUUGUACAAAAACUAGAACAUAAUCAUCGUUAUUUAUAUCUGUAUCUGGACGCCUUAGAUAAGAGGGAUACGAAGGAUUCGAAGGGCAAGUAUCAUGGCCUGCUGGUGCGACUGUAUGCCGAUUAUUCGAGGGACAAAUUGCUACCGCUUCUUCGUCGUUCCGAUAAUUAUCCGAUACAACAGGCUCUAGAUAUCUGCAGUCAACGCCGGUUUUACCCGGAAAUGGUGUAUUUGUUGGGUAGAAUCGGAAAUACCUCGGAGGCCCUGGCGCUCAUGACGAGGGAACUUAACGACAUGGAGAGCGCGAUCGCGUUCUGUCAGGAACACGACGACGAAGAGCUGUGGAACGAUCUAGUUAAUUACUCGCUUGACAAACCUGCGGCAAUUACAUUCCUCCUACAAAAGAUCGGCACCUACGUCGAUCCACGGCUCAUGGUACAGAGGAUAGAACCCACCUUGGAAAUUCCGGGGUUGAAGAAAGCGUUGGUCAAGAUGAUGUGCGACUACAAUCUGCAAGUGUCCGUGCAGGAGGGUUGCAAGAAGAUACUGUCCAAUGAUUAUUUCAAUCUGCACGAACGACUCGUUCGUUGUCACGAGAAAGGCAUAUUUGUCGAUGAUGAUCAGAUGUGCGGGGCUUGUCAUAGAAAGAUAAUUAGCCACGGAACAUGAUUGUAUUUUAUUGUAAACACUGUUUCCACGAGGAUUGUCUACCCAACUUCGAACUGAUCGAAAAUUGUGUAAUAUGCAACACGCAGAAGGAGAUGACGCCUGGCAGAAAAUGAUAAAGGUAAAGUUCCACUUCAUCAUGUGACACGCGUGCAAUGUUCGAAGCUCGAAGUAAACUAGUGAACGUAUUUCAGAUGUGAUGUAUAAACAAAUUUUUACAUAAUAAAUAGAUCGAAAUUACUUAC